UACAGAGGUCUCAAGCGUUGUUCGGAUUCAUUGGGCGUAAAGGGUGCGUAGGUGGCGCUGUAAGUGGGGUGUGAAAUCCCGGGGCUUAACCCCGGGACUGCAUUCCAUACUGCGGUGCUUGAGGACUGGAGAGGAGACUGGAAUUUACGGUGUAGCAGUGAAAUGCGUAGAGAUCGUAAGGAAGACCAGUGGCGAAGGCGGGUCUCUGGACAGUUCCUGACACUGAGGCACGAAGGCCAGGGGAGCAAACGGG
rnacentral:rRNA from 1 species